GAAAAGCAAAAUUUUAGCCAUCAAAGAUUUCUGCUGCGGUUGUAGCCAACCAUGUUGAAUUUUUGUGUUCACCUAUUGCUCCUUCCUCUCAUUCUUCUUGUUUUGCUCUUUAUAUUUUCUCUAGUACAUCAAUUCAAUUUUGCUCUCAUUCUACAUGGUACCUGAGCUAUGUUAAUCUUUUUUGAUAUGGUAUUAUAACAAAAAAAUCUAAGACGUUAAGGACUUGUUUUAUAUUAUGGAGGUUCAGUGAACAUUAUGCAGAGUCUCUCUACCAUUUCCUUCUCUUCUGUUUUGGUCAGUUUGUUCUUCAUCACUUUGGGUUGUGGGGCUUACUUCCUAGCCCCAAUGGGAGUAGUGACAAGUGUAAUAAGUUGUUGGGUGACUGGAAGGUUGUUAUGAGAUUUCUAUUGGAUUAAGCGUGCAUUUGACAUGCUGAAAAACUGCUGCGUUUUUGCGUUUUACUUAAAUUUAUGAGUCCCUUUUCACUGUUCAUUGGGCCCAUAGCCGAAAGCAAAAAACAUAGAUUAUUUUUAAGGAAACAGUGCGUUCAGCAACGGAUAGUUUUUGAAUCUGACGUUUCUCUUCAACUGUAUCUUGCAAGAAGAUCUCCCUUCUUCUUCCUCAUCAAUGCCCCCAACUUCUUCCUCAUCAAUACCCCAAGUUUUUUCUGAAGCUCUUUAAUUUUACAUCUACCACCAACUGUCCCAAUUUAUCCGUGGUUUCUAAUACACAAAAACUCAUCAAUACCCCAAGUGAUACAAACUCUUUGGAACAGCCCUUAUCACUGUGAUUUUCUUGGCUUCGAGAGUCUAUUUACCACAAAGCUGAUGCCGCUGCUGUGAGGGAGAGAUGCUGAUAGCAGACCAUUUCUUAACAACUUCAAGAUGGUGACAAGCUAGUGCACGGGUAAGCGAGAGUGAGAGAGAAGUAAGCAAAGUGUUGCAAGAAAGUGCUCUCUUUUAUGGUCUAGAAGUGAAUUCAACUAUAGCAAGAGAGAAAGCGGACCAAGAAGAAAGAGGAAAGGGGGAGGUAUCAUAUGUGCAGAAACCAAAAACCAACCUGACCAACCCAUCCACAACUCUUCUAAUAUGUGCAGAAACUUUCAGCAUGGAUGCUUUUACUUUGGUGAAGCAUGCAAAUGUCUAUUUGUGACUCAACAACACCAUAGUUCUAUUUGCUACCACAUACAAAGUUGUUCGCUUUGGAGACUGGGUCGCCAUCUCUAAUUAAGUUGUAAUGUCCAAGGUUGAUAAACGAAAGUCGAUUUUGUACCAACUAGAAAGAGUAUGGUGAGUUUGAUUUAAUAGAAUUUAAUUCAUUAUCAUUAUUUGAUUAAUCUCCUUUCCUUGACGAAUUCAGCAAAAUCAAAUUUGUACCAACUAGAAUGAGUAUGGUGUGUUUGAUUUAAUAGAAUUUGAUUCAUUAUCAUAAUUUGAUUGA